ACAAUCUUAACUUAAUUGGUAGAGUGUUAGCCUUCUAAGCUAGAAAAUCUUGGUUCGAGUCCGAGAGAUUGUA
rnacentral:tRNA from 1 species